rnacentral:rRNA from 1 species
GACGAACGCUGGCGGCGUGCUUAACACAUGCAAGUCGAACGAUGAACCGGGUGCUUGCACCUGGGGAUUAGUGGCGAACGGGUGAGUAACACGUGAGUAACCUGCCCUGGACUCUGGGAUAACCCCGAGAAAUCGGAGCUAAUACCGGAUAGGACCUUUCCUCGCAUGAGGUUUGGUGGAAAGCUUUUCGGUCUGGGAUGGACUCGCGGCCUAUCAGCUUGUUGGUGAGGUAAUGGCUCACCAGGGCGUCGACGGGUAGCCGGCCUGAGAGGGUGACCGGCCACACUGGGACUGAGACACGGCCCAGACUCCUACGGGAGGCAGCAGUGGGGAAUAUUGCACAAUGGGCGCAAGCCUGAUGCAGCAACGCCGCGUGCGGGAUGACGGCCUUCGGGUUGUAAACCGCUUUUAGUAGGGAAGAAGGGCUUCGGCUUGACGGUACCUGCAGAAAAAGGACCGGCUAACUACGUGCCAGCCGCCGCCGUAAAAC